rnacentral:rRNA from 1 species
CUCAGAUUGAACGCUGGCGGCAGGCCUAACACAUGCAAGUCGAGCGGAAACGAGUUAUCUGAACUUUCGGGGAACGAUAACGGCGUCGAGCGGCGGACGGGUGAGUAAUGCCUAGGAAAUUGCCCUGAUGUGGGGGAUAACCAUUGGAAACGAUGGCUAAUACCGCAUAAUGCCUACGGGCCAAAGAGGGGGACCUUCGGGCCUCUCGCGUCAGGAUAUGCCUAGGUGGGAUUAGCUAGUUGGUGAGGUAAUGGCUCACCAAGGCGACGAUCCCUAGCUGGUCUGAGAGGAUGAUCAGCCACACUGGAACUGAGACACGGUCCAGACUCCUACGGGAGGCAGCAGUGGGGAAUAUUGCACAAUGGGCGCAAGCCUGAUGCAGCCAUGCCGCGUGUGUGAAGAAGGCCUUCGGGUUGUAAAGCACUUUCAGUCGUGAGGAAGGUAGUGUAGUUAAUAGCUGCAUUAUUUGACGUUAGCGACAGAAGAAGCACCGGCUAACUCCGUGCCAGCAGCCGCGGUAAUACGGAGGGUGCGAGCGUUAAUCGGAAUUACUGGGCGUAAAGCGCAUGCAGGUGGUUUGUUAAGUCAGAUGUGAAAGCCCGGGGCUCAACCUCGGAAUAGCAUUUGAAACUGGCAGACUAGAGUACUGUAGAGGGGGGUAGAAUUUCAGGUGUAGCGGUGAAAUGCGUAGAGAUCUGAAGGAAUACCGGUGGCGAAGGCGGCCCCCUGGACAGAUACUGACACUCAGAUGCGAAAGCGUGGGGAGCAAACAGGAUUAGAUACCCUGGUAGUCCACGCCGUAAACGAUGUCUACUUGGAGGUUGUGGCCUUGAGCCGUGGCUUUCGGAGCUAACGCGUUAAGUAGACCGCCUGGGGAGUACGGUCGCAAGAUUAAAACUCAAAUGAAUUGACGGGGGCCCGCACAAGCGGUGGAGCAUGUGGUUUAAUUCGAUGCAACGCGAAGAACCUUACCUACUCUUGACAUCCAGAGAACUUUCCAGAGAUGGAUUGGUGCCUUCGGGAACUCUGAGACAGGUGCUGCAUGGCUGUCGUCAGCUCGUGUUGUGAAAUGUUGGGUUAAGUCCCGCAACGAGCGCAACCCUUAUCCUUGUUUGCCAGCGAGUAAUGUCGGGAACUCCAGGGAGACUGCCGGUGAUAAACCGGAGGAAGGUGGGGACGACGUCAAGUCAUCAUGGCCCUUACGAGUAGGGCUACACACGUGCUACAAUGGCGCAUACAGAGGGCAGCAAGCUAGCGAUAGUGAGCGAAUCCCAAAAAGUGCGUCGUAGUCCGGAUUGGAGUCUGCAACUCGACUCCAUGAAGUCGGAAUCGCUAGUAAUCGUGGAUCAGAAUGCCACGGUGAAUACGUUCCCGGG